ACGACAGAAGGCGCCGAUGGCCGCGCCUGCUGAGCCCUGCGCGGGGCAGGGGGUCUGGAACCAGACAGAGCCUGAACCUGCCGCCACCAGCCUGCUGAGCCUGCAUGUACCUCUGGGUCCUUGGUCCCAUCUACCUCCUCUUCAUCCACCACCAUGGCCGGGGCUACCUCCGGAUGUUCCCCACUCUUCAAAGCCAAGAUGAGAAACCAAAAUAUAUUAGAGAGACCCUAGAGACUUACUGGCCCAACAGAGAGUUGCUUCUUGAUUUCAUAGCAAGGAUUGAAAAAUGACUUGGAGAAAGGAUAGUUUUUUACCUGGUGCUUGGAUUCGCCCUCAUAGUCCUGUGUACCUCCAGCGUGGCUGUCGCCUGAGGCCCCAGAAUUCCUCAUUCAUCCUACUGUGUGGCUCACCACGAUGAGCUUCGCAGUGUUCCUGAUUCACACCAAGAGGAAAAAGGGAGUCCAGUCAUCUGGAGUGCUGUUUGGUUACUGGCUUCUCUGCUUUGUCUUGCCAGCUACCAACGCUGCCCAGCAGGCCUCCGGAGCGGGCUUCCAGAGCGACCCUGUCCGCCACCUGUCCACCUACCUAUGCCUG
rnacentral:lncRNA from 10 species